UUGAAGGUUUGAUGAGGGAGCUGGAAAACACUUCACGUAAUUUGGAUCUGUGAGCUGGUUGUUUUGUUGUAGAUUUAACUUUGCUUCAAAAUGAAAUAAGGAACCGAGCCCUAAGUUUCUUCUUCACUGCAGACUAUUGCUGCUGCCGCGGGUAUAACCAAUUUGCCAUGGGUAUAAAUUUCUUCUUCACUGGAGUGAAUAUAAGAGUUGACAGCAUACUUAGCGCCUGUGGCGAUGCUUUUGAGCAUGAGGUAACUAGAAGAAUGCGUAAUGAAUUUAUGGUAGCUUGGGAUGGCUUGAGGUCAAAAGACAACCAGAGAAUCAUAGCAGGUUGAUUAAUUAGUUCUUGAGGACUUGGUGCUAGAAACAUUGUAUGAUAGAUUUUUGUUUUAGCUAUAAGGUUGUUGGUAUUUUCAAUUUUGAAUCGGAAUAUGCAAUGAUGAUGUAUACUUGAUAUUUGGUUCAUUUGUAUAAUAAUGUAUGAAUUUCUUGGAUGAUAUAUAAUAUUGUUAUCGUUGAUUUUAUCA